rnacentral:rRNA from 1 species
AUUGAACGCUGGCGGCAGGCCUAACACAUGCAAGUCGAGCGGAUGAAGGGAGCUUGCUCCUGGAUUCAGCGGCGGACGGGUGAGUAAUGCCUAGGAAUCUGCCUGGUAGUGGGGGAUAACGUCCGGAAACGGGCGCUAAUACCGCAUACGUCCUGAGGGAGAAAGUGGGGGAUCUUCGGACCUCACGCUAUCAGAUGAGCCUAGGUCGGAUUAGCUAGUUGGUGGGGUAAAGGCCUACCAAGGCGACGAUCCGUAACUGGUCUGAGAGGAUGGUCAGUCACACUGGAACUGAGACACGGUCCAGACUCCUACGGGAGGCAGCAGUGGGGAAUAUUGGGCAAUGGGCGAAAGCCUGAUCCAGCCAUGCCGCGUGUGUGAAGAAGGUCUUCGGAUUGUAAAGCACUUUAAGUUGGGAGGAAGGGCAGUAAGUUAAUACCUUGCUGUUUUGACGUUACCAACAGAAUAAGCACCGGCUAACUUCGUG